AUUGAACGCUGGCGGCAGGCCUAACACAUGCAAGUCGAGCGGAAACGAAGGGAGCUUGCUCCCAGGCGUCGAGCGGCGGACGGGUGAGUAACACGUGAGAAUCUGCCCAUUAGUGGGGGACAACUCGGGGAAACUCGAGCUAAUACCGCAUAAUCCCUACGGGGGAAGGCAAGGGACCUUUUGGCCUUGCGCUGAUGGAUGAGCUCACGUCGGAUUAGCUUGUUGGUGAGGGAAAGGCUAACCAAGGCGACGAUCCGUAGCUGGUCUGAGAGGAUGAUCAGCCACACUGGGACUGAGACACGGCCCAGACUCCUACGGGAGGCAGCAGUGGGGAAUCUUGGACAAUGGGGGCAACCCUGAUCCAGCCAUGCCGCGUGUGUGAAGAAGGCCUUCGGGUUGUAAAGCACUUUAAGUUGGGAGGAAGGGCGCUCGGUGAAUACCCAGGCGUCUUGACGUUACCGACAGAAUAAGCACCGGCUAACUUCGUGCCAGCAGCCGCGGUAA
rnacentral:rRNA from 1 species